GACGAACGCUGGCGGCGUGCUUAACACAUGCAAGUCGAACGGAAAGGCCCUGCUUUUGUGGGGUGCUCGAGUGGCGAACGGGUGAGUAACACGUGAGUAACCUGCCCUUGACUUUGGGAUAACUUCAGGAAACUGGGGCUAAUACCGGAUUGGAGCUCCUGCUGCAUGGUGGGGGUUGGAAAGUUUCGGCGGUUGGGGAUGGACUCGCGGCUUAUCAGCUUGUUGGUGGGGUAGUGGCUUACCAAGGCUUUGACGGGUAGCCGGCCUGAGAGGGUGACCGGCCACAUUGGGACUGAGAUACGGCCCAGACUCCUACGGGAGGCAGCAGUGGGGAAUAUUGCACAAUGGGCGGAAGCCUGAUGCAGCAACGCCGCGUGCGGGAUGACGGCCUUCGGGUUGUAAACCGCUUUCGCCUGUGACGAAGCGUGAGUGACAGUAAUGGGUAAAGAAGCACCGGCUAACUACGUG
rnacentral:rRNA from 1 species